rnacentral:lncRNA from 1 species
CCUGGUUUAACAUGUUCUCCUUCGGCAACCAGCAAUCGCUUCACCGAACCGCCAACAUGAGAUUUCAAUUUCGGAAGUACAACUAUCUCCGAUUCGUUAGAAACUUCUCCAGAUAUUUUCUUGUACACAGCAAGAAUUGAACCUUUAGAGACUUUUUGAUCAACAGAUGCUUUCCAUUUUAUAAGCUGGCAUGGAAAAGAACGAGAAAGUAUGAGUUCGUUUUGCGCGGACCCUUGAAAGUUUUCCGCCAUUUUGGAAGCGGAA